CAGCGUGGUGAUCCCUGGGAGGAAGGUGUGCAGCUGAGUAGGUGUUUGCCAAGCUCUCCAGCCCCAAGGCCACCAUCACUGACAACACGCAGCCACCAGAUACACAAGGUCAACUGCAACAUGGUGGGAGAGGUACAUUUAUUGGAGUGGGAUCUCACCUUUACAAGGAACAAGUACAGCUCCCUUGCAAUUAAAUGGAAGGUCAGACAUGAGACUGACUCCCUUUUGGUCUUCAGCACAUUUGCACAGAGCGAAGCCAGCUCUCGGAGCCUGCAUUCUCUAGUCUAGUUCUCUCCCACCCCCCCAAUCUUUUAUCUUGAGUGGGUUUCCAGGAACAAUAAACUUACACUUUUCGUUUUAGCUUAUCAUGACUCUCCUGAUUACCUGUAAUU